UAGACAGGAGGAUGAAAGGAAGAUAAUAGUGUUUGGUACUGUAGCAAUUUUAUAGUAUCUGUCCCGCUUCAUACCUGAGUAGAUGUCAUCACGCUAAUACAGGAAGUAAGCAGAAGCAGCCCAGUAGCCAUAGUAACAGUGCAGCCAAGAGGAAACACUCUGGAACAGGAGACCAGUCUGGCAAUGGGAUCCAAUUAAAAGUUGGUAAUUGAAUGGAAUUCAAACUCACGACAGUGAGUGAUGAGUCAGACUCCUCAGCAAGCAGAGAAACAGGCCGCCAACAGCUGAAUGCGCUUUUGUGGAUAUUGGAGGAGGGAGGCAGCUCGCAAUGUUUCAGAUGCCUCGAGAAUUUGAGUCAUUCUUGAAAGGACAUAUUAGCUGGGCUUACGAAGCAAUCUUGAAGACAGCCCAAUAUUAAGGAGAACGAAGUGCAAUGCCCUGCAUGACAAUGAUGCACCAUGGAAGGAAGAACUGCAGAAUUUAUAGGAGGCAGAGAGAAAGAACCAAACUGCCAUGAACCAUUUCUGCAUUCUUCCUAAGUCAAAGAAGGGAAAGAUAAGGAGUUGGGAAUUCAACUCCUUGGGAGUUAGAAGUUAAGACUGUUUCUCCUCAGCACCUCUGCUGAUCGACUAAGGAGGAGAAUAUUCAAGUGCUUUCUCUGCUGUGUGUGAAGUAAUGCCAGAUGCCAAACUCUGCCUCUUCCAGCUUCCCCGAAUAUAGCACUUACACCUAGCAUUUCCAGAGUGUCACUGACACUGAGUACUUGUGGCCAUGAGUUGGAACAUAUGUAGAAGGCUGUGCAGUGUGUAAAUUCACUCCCUUCCUCUUAGCUCUUUUCCUCAGCCCCUCCUCUCCUGAAGUAGCUCCAGCUUUUCUACUUCUAUGAUGCUACAGAAUUACCCCCGCCUCUAAAGCCUCAGUACUGGCCAAUUUCCAAGUCUGGAGACAGAGACUCAUUCUCUAUCCUAAGCACUUAUCAAAGUAUCUUCCCAAUAAAAACAACUCUCUCUUUCAGAAAAUUCUGGCACCAGCUGUUAAAGCUCUAACUUUUCUCUACUUCUUCACAUGAUUUUGCAGAACUGCUAUGGAUAAAUAAAGAAUAUAAUAACAUGCUAGCACAAUGUCUUGUAUAUAGUAGAUACAAAAUAAAUAGUGGCUACCAUACAAUGUUUAUGUCAACUAGGUUUAGUCCUGAAAAGAUCAUGUCUACGGCAACCUGGGAGACUCAUCACUUCCAAAGGGAAGAUCUUGGACUUGGACUGGCCAAGGUAAUAGCAACAUAAAUCAAAAGCUAAGAAGGUCUCACUCUUCUUUCAAAAAACACAAUAAUCAUGAGACAGAGUUUAUUGACUUGUCACAGCAGUUAUCUCUGUCCCCUUCCAAACCCAUAGUCAUAAUAUAAAGCUAACAGACAACAGCAAAGGCACAAUGCUCUGGAAGUCUUUUUUGAUCACCCCAAUGCACGGAAGAGGGAAAUUCUAAAGUACUGUUUCUACCAAUCCUUAUGGAACACUGUCAUGUAGAAUUUUAGAUUUCCCUCUUCUAUUUAGAUGAAGUUUUGUUUUGGGAAAACACAAAAGUUUUUUCCCAUAUGCAAACCCUUAGCAGGGCAAAAAGCUCUUUCUCCAUCUCAAAACACAAAACAUACACACCCCACUUAAAAGACUGCAGACUACCAUGAUGAUGAGGCUAGUCUUCCUUGGGAAAUUCUCAUGCGUUUGGCCUUGGACAUUCCUGCUGACAAGAUCUGGCCUGGUUGACUGUAUGCUCUGAGGCUCAGCUGGUCACGAUUGCCUUUUGGGCAAUAGCACAAUUGGUCUGGGUAUCUUGCCAGGACUCCCAGACUCUAAGUAGUAAAGUACUUUAGACCUAUGCUAGCCAGUAGUGUGUCUGGACAUUUAAGAAUUAUUUUUUCCCCUAACAUGCCAAGAUGUUAGAAGAGAA